rnacentral:rRNA from 1 species
AACCAAAGGGGGCGAGCGUAAGCAGCUCUCACCGAAGGAGGAGCCUGCGUCCGAUUAGCUAGUUGGUGGGGUAAUGGCCUACCAAGGCGACGAUCGGUAGCCGGCCUGAGAGGGCGAUCGGCCACACUGGAACUGAGACACGGUCCAGACUCCUACGGGAGGCAGCAGUGGGGAAUAUUGCGCAAUGGGCGAAAGCCUGACGCAGCGACGCCGCGUGGGUGAUGAAGGCCUUCGGGUCGUAAAGCCCUGUCUGGUGGAACGAAACGCCUGGCGGCCAAUACCCGCUGGGUUUGACGGUACCACCGAAGGAAGCCCCGGCUAACUACGUGCCAGCAGCCGCGGUAAGACAUAGGGGGCGAGCGUUGUUCGGAUUUACUGGGCGUAAAGCGCGCGUAGGCGGCCAGAUAAGUCGGGUGUGAAAGCCCUCGGCUCAACCGAGGUUCCGCAUCCGAUACUGCUUGGCUGGAGUCUAGGAGAGGAGAGCGGAAUUCCCAGUGUAGCGGUGAAAUGCGUAGAUAUUGGGAGGAACACCCGUGGCGAAGGCGGCUCUCUGGACUAGUACUGACGCUGAGGCGCGAAAGCUAGGGGAGCGAACGGGAUUAGAUACCCCGGUAGUCCUAGCCGUAAACGAUGGGCACUAGGUGUGGGAGGUAUUGACCCCUUCCGCGCCGAAGCUAACGCAUUAAGUGCCCCGCCUGGGGAGUACGGCCGCAAGGCUAAAACUCAAAGGAAUUGACGGGGGCCCGCACAAGCGGUGGAGCAUGUGGUUCAAUUCGACGCAACGCGAAGAACCUUACCAGGGCUUGACAUCCCACGAACCUGCCUGAAAGGGCGAGGUGCCCGCAAGGGAGCGCGGAGA